UACGUAGGUGGCAAGCGUUGUCCGGAAUUAUUGGGCGUAAAGAGCUCGUAGGCGGUCUGUCGCGUCUGGUGUGAAAACUCAGGGCUUAACCCUGAGCUUGCAGUGGGUACGGGGCAGACUAGAGUGUGGUAGGGGAGACUGGAAGUUCCUGGUGUAGCGGUGAAAUGCGCAGAUAUCAGGAGGAACACCGAUGGCGAAGGCAGGUCUCUGGGCCAAUAACUGACGCUGAGAAGCGAAAGCAUGGGGAGCGAACAGG
rnacentral:rRNA from 1 species